rnacentral:rRNA from 1 species
GACGAACGCUGGCAGCGUGCUUAACACAUGCAAGUCGAACGGAAAGGCCCUGCUUUUGUGGGGUGCUCGAGUGGCGAACGGGUGAGUAACACGUGAGUAACCUGCCCUUGACUUUGGGAUAACUUCAGGAAACUGGGGCUAAUACCGGCUAGGAGCUCCUGCUGCAUGGUGGGGGUUGGAAAGUUUCGGCGGUUGGGGAUGGACUCGCGGCUUAUCAGCUUGUUGGUGGGGUAGUGGCUUACCAAGGCUUUGACGGGUAGCCGGCCUGAGAGGGUGACCGGCCACAUUGGGACUGAGAUACGGCCCAGACUCCUACGGGAGGCAGCAGUGGAGAAUAUUGCACAAUGGGCGGAAGCCUGAUGCAGCAACGCCGCGUGCGGGAUGACGGCCAUCGGGUUGUAAACCGCUUUCGCCUGUGACGAAGCGUGAGUGACGGUAAUGGGUAAAGAAGCACCGGCUAACUACGUG